AUUGAACGCUGGCGGCAUGCCUAACACAUGCAAGUCGAACGGCAGCGCGGGGGCAACCCUGGCGGCGAGUGGGGGAGGGGGGGGGAAGGCAUGGGAACCGGCCGGGUGUGGGGGAUAACGGAGGGAAAAUUACGCUUAUUACGCAUACGACCCUCGGGUGAAAGUGGGGGGCCUUUGGGCCUCACGCGGUCGGAUGAGCCUAUGCCCGAUUAGCUAGUUGGCGGGGUAAGAGCCCACCAAGGCGACGAUCGGUAGCUGGUCUGAGAGGAUGAUCAGCCACACUGGGACUGAGACACGGCCCAGACUCCUACGGGAGGCAGCAGUGGGGAAUAUUGGACAAUGGGCGCAAGCCUGAUCCAGCAAUGCCGCGUGUGUGAAGAAGGCCUUCGGGUUGUAAAGCACUUUUGUUCGGGAAGAAAUCCGUGUGGUUAAUACCCGUACGGGAUGACGGUACCGAAAGAAUAAGCACCGGCUAACUUCGUG
rnacentral:rRNA from 1 species